rnacentral:misc_RNA from 1 species
UGAAAUGAUGGAGAGAUGGUAUGAAAAAUUCUGUAAUUUUGGGAUUGAGCCUGAAACGCGGACAUUUAAUAUCCUCAUUGGUGCUUACGGGAAGAGAAAGAUGUAUGAUAAAAUGUCAUCUGUAAUGGAGUACAUGCGUAAACUCUCAUUUCCAUGGACAACAUCAACAUACAAUAAUGUCAUUGAGGCGUUUUCAGAUGCAGGUGAGGCAAAGCAUAUGGAAUACACCUUUGAUCAAAUGCG